rnacentral:rRNA from 1 species
UACGUAGGGGGCAAGCGUUGUCCGGAUUUAUUGGGCGUAAAGCGCACGCAGGCGGUCUUUUACGUUUUCAGUGACAGGUGAGGGCUUAACUCUCACAGGCCUGGAAAUACGGGAAGACUUGAGGACUUCAGAGGGAUGCGGAAUUCCAGGUGGAGCGGUGAAAUGCGUAGAUAUCGGGAGGAACACCAGUGGCGAAGGCGACUUCUUGGCCUGUUCUUGACGCUGAGGCGCGAAAGCUGGGGGAGCAAACGGG